CAUUUGGAUGUCACCCACCGUGGCUGAAUACACAGAUUUGAAUUUCUGGAGGUGGUGCUGAAUACCACAUUUAAUGUCCCCAUCAAGGCCCAAGAAGCGACCUGGAAGAUGGGCGAGCUCUCCAGCAGCCUCCCUCCCGCUCUGCGGGUUGCUCUGAGUCGUGUCUCAAGUGGGUCAACUUAAGGGGGGUGAGCGUGUCCCGUGAAUGGGAGGUUUUUCCUCUCCCUCCUCCCAGGAUGCUCAGCCUUUAGAAGGAGCUCUGUGUCUCUGCCUAGACCUGCCUGCCUUGCCUUUACGGUCUGCAGAGGCAGGCGGGGCUCCCUGAGUUGACAGUUUUGUCACAAACUCUUGAACUGGUACCCAUCUGCUCAGGGAGGGGUGAUAGCACCAUCCUGUUUCUCAUCCAGAACUGGAUCAGGGUAGAUAGAAAAAGAAAAACGAAUACACUCUUGGACACUAUUGGAGAGAAGAAGGGAGUGCUUUAGCCUCAGGAGAAAGGGGCAUUUUAUGAUGUAUUUAUUAUGGCCACUGUUCCAAAAAGUGAAAAAUAGAAAACCAACAAAAAAGUAAGAUCCCCCCAGAUCACAUCAGAACAGCCUUUUGAACCCUACAGCCAGUGUAAGCUUUGACAGACUUUCUGGUGCAUUUUUUAAAUUAAAAAAAAAAAAGUGUAUUCUAAUUUAAUUAAAGUAAAAUUUUAAUAAUUAAAAUUCUUUUCUUUUUGAAAUAUUUUUUAUUAAAGUGUAGUUGAUUUAUGGUGUUCUGGUAAUUUCUGCUGGACAGCAAAGUGACCCAGUCAUACACACACAUGCACACACAUGUAUAUCCUAUUCUUUUUUUCAUACUACCUUCCAUCAUGUUCUAACCCGAGAGAUUAAACAUAGUUCCCUGUGCUGUACAGUAGGACCCUAUUCCUUAUCCAUUCUGAAGAUAAUAGUUUACAUCUACUAACCUCAAACUCUCUGUCCCCUCCCCCCUGGCAACCACAGAUCUGCUCUCCAUGUCCAUGAUCUGUUUCUAUUUUGUAGAUAGGAUCAUUUGUGCCAGAUCUUAGAUUCCGCACAUAAGUGUUAUCUCUUUGUGAUAUGAUAUUUGUCUUUCUCUUUCUGACUUACUUCACUUAGUAUGAGAAGCUCUAGUUGUAUCCAUGUUGCUGCAAAUGGCAUUACUUUGUCCUUUUUUAUGGCUGAGUUGUAUUCCAUUAUGUAUAUGCACCACAUCUUCUUAAUCCAUUCAUCUGUCGAUGGACAUUGAGGUUGUUUCCAUGUCUUGGCUGUUGUGAAUUUGUGCUGCACUGAACAUAGGGGUGCAUGUAUCCUUUUGAAUGAACGUUUUGUCUUGAUAUAUGCCCAGGAGUGGGAUUGCUGGAUCACAUGGUAGUUCUAUGUUGAGUUUUCUGAGGAACCUCCCUACUGUUUUCCAGAGUGUUUGUACCAAUUUACAUGCCCACCAAGAGUGUAGGAGGGUUCCCUUUUCUUCUCCAUCAUUUGUUAUUUGUAGAUAGUCGUUCUGACAGGUGCUAGGUGGUACCUCAUACUAGUUUUGAUUUGCAUUUCUGUAAUAAUCAGUGAUGAUGAGCAUUUUUUCAUGUGCUCAUUGGCCAUCUGUAUGUCUUCUUUGGAGAAAUGUCUGUUUAGGUUUUCUGCCCAUUUUUCUAUUGGAUUGUGUGUGGGGGGAUUUGCUAUGAGUUGUAUGAGUUGUUUGUAUAUUUUGAAGAUUAAACCCUUGUUGGACUUAAUCAGUUUUUCAAUUUUCAUAUAUGGCUGCUGUGAGCUUUUAACCCUUUAGCCAGAGUCAAGUUUGACAGAAUUUCUGGUGUAUUUUUUAAAUUAAAAAAUACGUUAAAAUAAAAUUUUAAUAAUUAAAAAAAUUUAAUGCCUUGGCCUGAGCCCCAUUCCUGACUACAGCUUGGAGGCCAGGUCCACACAGAGGGAAGCCAGCUCUAUGAUAGGGCUGUCUUUGUGGCAGAAGUCAUGGCCACUCUGCUCCUUGAAUAGAAUUCCGUUCAUUACGUAGGAUAUUGGGUAGAAACAGACAAGGCCAAGAGGGCUGACCUCCACUUGUCUUCCUCAAAGCCUGACAGCCCCCAGGGCUGGGCAGGGCCUGUCUGUAAGGAGAGAGGAAGUGACCAGACUCUUAGCCAGUCUCCAACCAGGGGUCCAGCUGGUGAAACCCUCUCUCCAUUUUUUCCACUAAGUUGCUCCGUCCCACGUGGAGUUUGACUGGCUGUCAGAAGCCGCCUUCUUCUCUCCCACCCCCCAUCCUCCACGUGCCUUUGGUCCUCUGCUGCCCUCCCCUAGGCCAUCACCCACCCCGGAAAAGCCCAGGACAUCCUGCAAGCUCUCACAUCUACCUUGGCCUGGGCAGUAGCUUUAGUGUUUUAGAUUCCUGGAAAUAGCAGCAUCUCUAAGACAAAAUAUCCUUCUUCUUGCCAAAGCCUGUUUCAUCAGGCAGGACUUUACCGUAGCUCUACUGAUGAGGUUGCUCCGGAUUUGUUUUCCCAGAAACCUCUGCAGAAGAGGGCCUUCAAGAGAUGGGGGCAGAGAAAAGCCCACCCUGCCAUCAUCACCUAGGCAUGCCUGUGUGUGAGCGUUGGUUGCUAUGGCUUUCCCGCCGGAUGGUCAGCCUUGUGAAGGAGGGGUCCGUGUGUAUUCCCUUCCUGCUCCAUCCCCAGCACAGAGAAAGAGGAACAUAGUAGGAGCUGUAGAAAUAUUUGUUGAACAAAUGAAUAAAUAAAUGCUAAUGGUAAAUGCUAAUGAACUCAAUACCCAAACAUGCCGGUUGAUGGAUUAGGCCAUUAGUCAAACAUUACAGUGCAGGCUGGUAUUUGCAAAUCCCUCUUUGAUCCAGAACUUAUCAGGAGUGGGGAUGAUUUUCUCUCAUUAAGAGGCCUUACUGGUGAUAUUAUGUCUCUGGGAGCUCAUAGAGAAAAAUUAGGCUUUUUUGCACAAUGGACCUCCCUUUAAACUGAUUUAUCAAGGAAAAAAAUAUUAUUUUCGCGUAAUAAUUUAGGGGGCAUGUUUUCCCUUAAGAAGCUCACUUAUGAACUGCAAUAAUGCUUUUAGCCCAGUCAUAGCAGUACUAAAUGCUGACACCCCUUCCCCCUGGCAGAGGCAGAGUGUUGGAAGGAAAUCCCCCUUUUAUGUUUCUAUCUGGGGGGAGUGAUGUCAUUUUGUCAACAAAGCUUUAAGAAACAUGGCCUUCCGUGGCAUGUCCUGUCCAUGUGGCUUUGCUUUUGCCUUCUGUCUCCUCCGAGAGGACAAGUUGGUAAAUGAAAGGCUCCGUGACUGUCGUCCUGAGCUGGUACCUUCGCCACUGCUGGAGCCUAAAUAAGUGAGUUUCCAUGAGCAGGAAUGGCUGAUUCAUAAUUGGAUCACGUCAUUUCACAGUGCUGGAUUCACAGAGCAGGAAAAGGACAAUGAAGAGAUAAAACUUGGAGUUCCUGUUGGGGCUCAGCAGGUUAAGAACCUGACUUAGUAUCCAUGAGAAUGCAGGUUCAACCCCUGGCCCCGCUGAAUGGGUUAAGGAUCCGGUGUUGCCGUGAGCUGGGGUGUAGGUCACAGAUGCAGCUUGGAUCUGGCCAUUGCUGUGGCUGUGGUGUAGGCCAGCAGGGGCAGCUCUGAUUCGACCCCUGGCCUGGGAACUGCCAUAGGCUGCAGUGGACCCUAAAAAGAAAAAAGAGAGAGAAGGAGAGAGAGAAACCUAAUACCACCAGCAAAGUCCAGGACAGCGCUCCUUUUCUCAGGUGCAUUCCUAAGUGUCAAGAUGACAUUGUUUUUGAAAGAAGAGAAAACAAAAGCCCUGAACCCAAUCUCCAAAUGAUGGAAGGGACAGGGGUGCUGUUUAACCAUCAGCCGUCCCCACAGAUGCCAGUCAAGGUGCCCUGGUAUCUGUGGCAGAUCUGAUUAGGUAACCCUGGGUGAUUUUGUUCUGGGAGCCCCUGAGCCCAGGAACACAGCCAGGGACUUACAUUUGCAGGUAGUUUAUAUGAGGAAUCCGAAGAUAAAAUGGAGAAAGCCAGAGCCAUGUCUCAUCUUAGCAAGGACUCCAAAUAAGACUGGCCGAGGCAGAAGGAGGCUGGAUGGGUCGGUGAUUAGAUUUUUUUUUGCUUUUUAGAGCCACACCUAUGGCGUAUGGAUGUUCCCAGGCUAGGGGUCGAAUCGGAACUGUAGCCACCGGCCUACGCCAGAGCCACAGCAACGCAGGAUACGAGCCACGUCUGCAACCUACACCACAGCUCACGGCAACACCGGAUCGUUAACCCACUGAGCAAGGACAGGGACCGAACCCACAACCUCAUGGUUCCUAGUCGGAUUCGUUAACCACUGCGCCACGACGGGAACUCCGAGACCCGCAGUUUUCUAAGUGACUGGAUCCAGACCAACCAGCACUUAUUAAAACCACAGCGCCGUCUAAAGAAAUGACGGUGGGAAGCAAGUCAGAAAGAGAAAGACAGACACCAUAUGCUAUCACUUCCAUCUGGAAUCUCAUAUACGGCACAAAUGAACCUUUCCACAGAAAAGAAACUCAUGGACUUGGAGAACCGACUUGUGGUUGCCAAAGGGGAGGGAGUGGGAUGGACUGGGAACACGGGGUUAAGAGGUGCAGACUGUUGCCUUUGGAAUGGAUAAGCCAUGAGAUCCUGCUGCAUAGCACCGGGAACUGUAUCUAGUCACUUGUGAUGGAGCCUGAUAAUGGGAGCAAAGAGGAUGUAUCCUUGUAUGUGUCACGGGGUCACCAUUGCUGUACAGUAGAAAAUUGACAGAAGACCGUAAAUCACCGAUAAUGGAAAAAAAAUUUUAAAAAAAGAAGCGAAGGUGAGGGUGGUGUUUCCUGCCUUCACGUGGUCACCCCGUCUCCUUCUCUGUGGGCCCUUCCUGAGCCCUGAUAGAACUAAUACCCACUUAGGACUUACCGUCUGUACUGUCUCCCUUGCCCCAUUCUUCACGACCUGUACUAGGUAAGAGCGUGCUAAGUAUCCCUUUGCUCCUUGGUUUCCUGUCUAGCCCCCCCUUUUAGCUUGUAAAGUUCCUAACAGUCGGACUGCUUUGGGGGGAUGUUCUCUGUUCUAGCACAGGACCCCCCCACACACCCAGAGCACAGGAAUGGGUGUGUCAUAUGUGUACAUUGGACCUGGUAGAUACUGACUAGCAGUGUGGCAUCAUGACCCAAAGCAUGGGCUUUGGGGCCAGGGCACCUAGGGCAAGUCCUGGCUCUGUCUGUCACCAGCUGUGCAGCCUUGGGAAGCAAUUUGACAUUUUUCUGUCUCAUUUUCCUCAGCUCUGUUGUAGCUUAGUCAUAGUAAAUACAUCAUGAGGCUUUUAGAAGGAUUGAGUAACCACGUAUAAAUGGCCUAAAAUAGUGACUAGGAUUAAAAAAGCACCCAAUCAAUGUGAGCUCUAGGAUGUGUGUGUGUGUGUGUGUGUGUUGUGUACAUAUCACCAUGUGAGAGUAAUUGCUUGGGUUUACACACACACACACACACGGAUAUUUUAAUCAUGGGAGUGAAAAUUGAGGAAGAAUAAAAGUGGGAGGGAAGGAAUGAAGGACCAAAAGUAGCGGAUAAAGACCGAAAUGAUGAGAGAGAAGGAAGUUGGGUUGAGGGGAAGGAGCAGUGGCUUUGCGCUUUUUUAUCCGAAAGGAAACUUUAAUCCCCAAGGUGUUCUAAAUUUCCCAGAGUGAAGGUUCAGCAUAUACGAAGAAAGUUAACCGGUUCUAAAUUAAUAUAUGAAUUUGUAAUGAUGCCUUGAAGCUAAUCUUUUUAUCUAUGUAUUAUUUGGAAAUACAUCCAAUGUGAAAAGCCCACAAUUUGCCCCAAGCACUGGGUG
rnacentral:lncRNA from 1 species